rnacentral:rRNA from 1 species
AGAGUUUGAUCAUGGCUCAGAUUGAACGCUAGCGGGAUGCCUUACACAUGCAAGUCGAACGGCAGCACGGACUUCGGUCUGGUGGCGAGUGGCGAACGGGUGAGUAAUGUAUCGGAACGUGCCUAGUAGCGGGGGAUAACUACUCGAAAGAGUUAGCUAAUACCGCAUACGCCCUACGGGGGAAAGGGGGGGAUCGCAAGACCUCUCACUAUUAGAGCGGCCGAUAUCGGAUUAGCUAGUUGGUGAGGUAAAGGCUCACCAAGGCGACGAUCCGUAGCUGGUUUGAGAGGACGACCAGCCACACUGGGACCUGAGACACGGGCCCAGACUCCUACGGGAGGCAGCAGUGGGGAAUUUUGGACAAUGGGGGAAACCCUGAUCCAGCCAUCCCGCGUGUGCGAUGAAGGCCUUCGGGUUGUAAAGCACUUUUGGCAGGAAAGAAAUCGCACGGGUUAAUAACCCGUGUGGAUGACGGCACCUGCAGAAUAAGCACCGGCUAACUACGUGCCAGCAGCCGCGGUAAUACGUAGGGUGCAAGCGUUAAUCGGAAUUACUGGGCGUAAGCGUGCGCAGGCGGUUCGGAAAGAAAGAUGUGAAAUCCCAGGCUUAACCUUGGAACUGCAUUUUUAACUCCCGAGCUAGAGUAUGUCAGAGGGGGGUGGAAUUCCGCGUGUAGCAGUGAAAUGCGUAGAUAUGCGGAGGAACACCGAUGGCGAAGGCAGCCCCCUGGGAUAAUACUGACGCUCAUGCACGAAAGCGUGGGGAGCAAACAGGAUUAGAUACCCUGGUAGUCCACGCCCUAAACGAUGUCAACUAGCUGUUGGGGCCUUCGGGCCUUAGUAGCGCAGCUAACGCGUGAAGUUGACCGCCUGGGGAGUACGGUCGCAAGAUUUAAACUCAAAGGAAUUGACGGGGACCCGCACAAGCGGUGGAUGAUGUGGAUUAAUUCGAUGCAACGCGAAAAACCUUACCUACCCUUGACAUGUCUGGAAUCCACGAGAGAUCGAGGAGUGCUCGCAAGAGAACCGGAACACAGGUGCUGCAUGGCUGUCGUCAGCUCGUGUCGUGAGAUGUUGGGUUAAGUCCCGCAACGAGCGCAACCCUUGUCAUUAGUUGCUACGAAAGGGCACUCUAAUGAGACUGCCGGUGACAAACCGGAGGAAGGUGGGGAUGACGUCAAGUCCUCAUGGCCCUUAUGGGUAGGGCUUCACACGUCAUACAAUGGUCGGGACAGAGGGUCGCCAACCGCGAGGGGGAGCCAAUCCCAGAAACCCGAUCGUAGUCCGGAUUGUAGUCUGCAACUCGACUACAUGAAGUCGGAAUCGCUAGUAAUCGCGGAUCAGCAUGUCGCGGUGAAUACGUUCCCGGGUCUUGUACACACCGCCCGUCACACCAUGGGAGUGGGUUUCACCAGAAGUAGUUAGCCUAACCGCAAGGGAGGGCGAUUACCACGGUGUGGUUCAUGACUGGGGUGAAGUCGUAACAAGGUAGCCGUAUCGGAAGGGUGCGGCUGGAUCACCUCCUU